GGAAAAGAAACUAACAAGGAUUCCCCUAGUAACUGCGAGUGAAGCGGGAAAAGCUCAAAUUUAAAAUCUGGCAGUCUUUGGCUGUCCGAGUUGUAAUCUGGAGAAGCGUCUUCCGCGCUGGACCGUGUACAAGUCUCCUGGAACGGAGCGUCAUAGAGGGUGAGAAUCCCGUCUUUGACACGGACUACCAGUGCUCUGUGAUGCGCUCUCAAAGAGUCGAGUUGUUUGGGAAUGCAGCUCAAAAUGGGUGGUAAACUCCAUCUAAAGCUAAAUAUUGGCGAGAGACCGAUAGCGAACAAGUACCGUGAGGGAAAGAUGAAAAGCACUUUGGAAAGAGAGUUAAACAGUACGUGAAAUUGCUGAAAGGGAAACGCUUGAAGUCAGUCGCGUCUGCUAGAACUCAGCCUUGCCUCGGCUUGGUGCAUUUUCUAGUAGACGGGCCAGCAUCACUUUUGGCUGCGGGAAAAAGGUCAGAGGAAUGUGGCACCCUCGGGUGUGUUAUAGCCUCUGGCUGUAUACCGUGGCUGGGAGUGAGGAACUCAGCACGCCUCACGGCGGGGCUUCGGCUACCUUCGUGCUUAGGAUGCUGGCGUAAUGGCUUUAAACGACCCGUCUUGAAACACGGACCAAGGAGUCUAACAUGCCUGCGAGUGUUUGGGUGGAAAACCCGAGCGCGUAAUGAAAGUGAAAGUUGGGAUCUCUGUCGUGGAGAGCACCGACGCCCGGACCAGACCUUCUGUGACGGAUCCGCGGUAGAGCAUGUAUGUUGGGACCCGAAAGAUGGUGAACUAUGCCUGAAUAGGGUGAAGCCAGAGGAAACUCUGGUGGAGGCUCGUAGCGAUUCUGACGUGCAAAUCGAUCGUCAAAUUUGGGUAUAGGGGCGAAAGACUAAUCGAACCAUCUAGUAG
rnacentral:rRNA from 1 species